CUCUUAGAAUUGGAAAAAAAUGCAUAGGAGUUGUUUGUUAAAACCUCAAAGAAAUGUGAUUUUGUGGAGAAUUGUAUGCUUUUAGUUUGGCUCUACUCUCUCUCUCUCUCUAACUUCUUGAAAUGCGAAAAAAGCAAUGGAUGAUGAUCUAUCUUGGUUGAAUGGUUUGAGCCAUGAAACCAAUGAAUGAUGUUCAGGAACCCAUAAAUAGUUGGAUAUGGACACUGAUUCUGUUUUUCCUCUGUAUUGGGCGGGAAUACUUACUAAUGUUUUAGAGGCUUGUAAGUAAGAUCUUGACUUUAUGUGUCCCAUCCAUUGCAGUAAUUCAGUGAAUUUCUACAUAGGAGAUAAAUUACAAAUGUUAUUUCUAGCUGACUCCAAUUCUAACAUGUUUCCAAGUUCAAAUGAUUGCAUUUAUUUCAUAAUCUUGGAAUUAGUUUCUAAUACAAGGUGACUGUCCAAACAGAGGACAUGCAGUUGGCACGGGCUACAUUUUUGCAUUGGCGCAUGACUAUUGGCUCAUGGCCUCUAACUAUGGUUAUAUUUUCAUGAAUGAGUCACUGCAAUUGCAAUUUGGAGCCUAGUUAUCAAUACUUGGGAAGGUAUAUGCAAUUCAGAAGUUAGAAAAUAACUUAAGUUUAAUUUUCAUAUCUGCUUUCAAUAUAACAUGGCCACGCUGAAGUUUGGAUUGAAUUCAAUUGUUAGUAUAAUAAUUUCUAAAUAACUGAAUUGUGAAUUUCUUAAGUGGUGUUUGGUUGUUGGUUUUUAUAUUUUUCAGCUUAAAAAUUCUCUGAUUUCUACAAAAUUUAUGUUUGGUUCACAUUUUUUUUGUUGGUUUUUACAUUUCAAAUUAUGAAUUUCUUUGACAUGUUUGGCCGCUGCUAUUUAUAUUUCUUAGUUUAGACAUUACCUGAUUUUUAAAAAGUCAUGUUUAGUUUACAUUUUUUUGGCCUAAAGAAUUUAAACAUAAAUUAAGACAUUUCCUAAGUUUUUUGUAUCAACUAAACAAAAUUAAUUCUCCAUCAAUAAAUAUUAUAGGCCCUUUAACAUCCAUUUCAAAUGGUAUACAUACUCAUUGUGGAAACUAGAAAAUCUUUGUUUGGAAUUCAAUUCACUUGUGCAUCCAAAAGCAGCCUAAAUCAGCUUAAAUCAGUUAGGAAAUAGACAUGGAUACUCUCAUUUCUUAUUUCCUUCUUUUUGAUAACAUCGUCAAUGUAGGUUGAUUUGGGGUUGCCGUUGACAUUGGGGAAUGUGACUGUUCUCUAGCUCAAGCUAAAGUGAGGAAGACAUUUUAUACAAAUGUUCCUGAUGAAUAUAUACAAGCUGUUGAAGAUCUGGUUGUCCCAAGGACUGAAUUUGGUAAUGCAUCAGAGAAAGAGCAUUACCAUGUGAAGGUGCUUGACAAACAUGGAGUGACUCUUUCAUGCAAAUGUUCUACAACAGAAGAUGGUGGAAAACUUGAGCUUCGUAAGGCAAGU